rnacentral:rRNA from 1 species
UACGUAGGGUGCAAGCGUUAUCCGGAAUGAUUGGGCGUAAAGCGUCUGUAGGUGGUUUAUUAAGUCUACUGUUAAAGAUCAGGGCUUAACCCUGAGCAGGCAAUAGAAACUAAUAAGCUAGAGUACGGUAGGGGCAGAGGGAAUUCCCGGUGUAGCGGUGAAAUGCGUAGAGAUCGGGAAGAACACCAACGGCGAAAGCACUCUGCUGGGCCGAAACUGACACUGAGAGACGAAAGCUAGGGGAGCAAAUGGG